AGGCCUACCACAUGCAAGUCGAGGGGCAGCACAUGCGUAGCAAUACAAUGGUGGCGACCGGCGCACGGGUGAGUAACACGUAUGCAACCUACCUUCAACAUUGGAAUAACCCGUUGAAAGACGGACUAAUACCGAAUAAAACAGGGGCACCUCCUGGUGAUAUUUGUUAAAGAUUUUAUCGGUUGAAGAUGGGCAUGCGUAUGAUUAGCUAGUUGGUAAGGUAACGGCUUACCAAGGCAACGAUCAUUAGGGGUUCUGAGAGGAAGGUCCCCCACACUGGUACUGAGACACGGACCAGACUCCUACGGGAGGCAGCAGUGAGGAAUAUUGGUCAAUGGGCGAGAGCCUGAACCAGCCAAGUCGCGUGAAGGAAGACUGUCCUAUGGAUUGUAAACUUCUUUUGUACAGGAAUAAAGUCAGUCACGUGUGAUUGUUUGCAAGUACUGUACGAAUAAGGAUCGGCUAACUCCGUGCCAGCAGCCGCGGUAAUACGGAGGAUCCGAGCGUUAUCCGGAUUUAUUGGGUUUAAAGGGUGCGUAGGUGGAAUAAUAAGUCAGCGGUGAAAGUUUAGAGCUUAACUGUAAAAUUGCCGUUGAAACUGUUGUUCUUGAGUGCAAAUGAGGUAGGCGGAAUGUGUCGUGUAGCGGUGAAAUGCUUAGAUAUGACACAGAACUCCGAUUGCGAAGGCAGCUUACUGGGAUGCAACUGACACUGAGGCACGAAAGCGUGGGUAUCAAACAGGAUUAGAUACCCUGGUAGUCCACGCAGUAAACGAUGAAUACUAGCUGUUUGCGAUAUACAGUAAGCGGUACAGCGAAAGCGUUAAGUAU
rnacentral:rRNA from 1 species